rnacentral:rRNA from 1 species
UACAGAGGUCUCGAGCGGUGUUCGGAUUCAUUGGGCGUAAAGAGCGUGUAGGCGGUCCGGUAAGUCCGCUGGGAAAGUCCAGGGCUCAACCCUGGAAUGCCGGUGGAUACUGCCGGGCUAGAGUCCGGAAGAGGCGAGUGGAAUUCCUGGUGUAGCGGUGAAAUGCGCAGAUAUCGUAAGGAAGACCAGUGGCGAAGGCGGUUCUCUGGGCCUGUUCUGACGCUGAGGAGCGAAAGCGUGGGGAGCGAACAGG